GCCGGAGUGGUGGAAUCGGUAGACACACCAUCUUGAGGGGGUGGCGUCCGUAUUAGGGUGUGCGGGUUCGAAUCCCGCCUCCGGCACUA
rnacentral:tRNA from 1 species